AGAGUUUGAUCCUGGCUCAGGAUGAACGCUAGCGGCAGGCCUAACACAUGCAAGUCGAGGGGUAACAGAAGAAGCUUGCUUUUCGCUGACGACCGGCGCACGGGUGCGUAACGCGUAUACAAUCUACCUCUAACUGGAAGAUAGCCCCGAGAAAUCGGGAUUAAUACUCCAUAAUAUGAUUCCUUCGCAUGUUGGAAUCAUUAAAGCUCCGGCGGUUAGAGAUGAGUAUGCGUCCCAUUAGUUAGUUGGUGAGGUAACGGCUCACCAAGACUUCGAUGGGUAGGGGGCCUGAGAGGGUGAUCCCCCACACUGGUACUGAGACACGGACCAGACUCCUACGGGAGGCAGCAGUGAGGAAUAUUGGUCAAUGGAGGCAACUCUGAACCAGCCAUGCCGCGUGAAGGAUGAAGGCGCUAUGCGUCGUAAACUUCUUUUAUUUGGGAAGAAACCCUCGGACGUGUCCGAGGCUGACGGUACCAAACGAAUAAGGACCGGCUAACUCCGUGCCAGCAGCCGCGGUAAUACGGAGGGUCCAAGCGUUAUCCGGAAUUAUUGGGUUUAAAGGGUCCGUAGGCGGGAAAUUAAGUCAGUGGUGAAAUCCUACAGCUCAACUGUGGAACUGCCAUUGAAACUGAUUUUCUUGAAUAUAGUUGAAGUGGGCGGAAUGUGUCAUGUAGCGGUGAAAUGCUUAGAGAUGACACAGAACACCGAUUGCGAAGGCAGCUCACUAACCUAUUAUUGACGCUGAGGGACGAAAGCGUGGGUAGCGAACAGGAUUAGAUACCCUGGUAGUCCACGCCGUAAACGAUGAUUACUCGACAUUGGCGAUAAACUGUCAGUGUCCAAGCGAAAGUGUUAAGUAAUCCACCUGGGGAGUACGAUCGCAAGGUUGAAACUCAAAGGAAUUGACGGGGGCCCGCACAAGCGGUGGAGCAUGUGGUUUAAUUCGAUGAUACGCGAGGAACCUUACCAGGACUUAAAUGCAUUUUGACAUGCUGUGAAAGCAGUUUUUCUUCGGACAAUUUGCAAGGUGCUGCAUGGCCGUCGUCAGCUCGUGCCGUGAGGUGUCGGGUUAAGUCCCAUAACGAGCGCAACCCCUAUCUUUAGUUGCUAGCAGGUAAUGCUGAGGACUCUAAAGAAACUGCCCGCGCAAGCGGCGAGGAAGGUGGGGACGAUGUCAGGUCAUCACGGCCCUUACGUCCUGGGCUACACACGUGCUACAAUGGCGCAUACAAAGGGCAGCUACCUGGUGACAGGAUGCUAAUCUCCAAAGUGCGUCUCAGUUCGGAUCGAAGUCUGCAACUCGACUUCGUGAAGCUGGAAUCGCUAGUAAUCGGAUAUCAGCCAUGAUCCGGUGAAUACGUUCCCGGGCCUUGUACACACCGCCCGUCAAGCCAUGGAAGCUGGGAGUGCCUGAAGUCGGUGACCGCAAGGAGCUGCCUAGGGUAAAACUAGUAACUAGGGCUAAGUCGGAACAAGGUAGCC
rnacentral:rRNA from 1 species